UACGUAGGUGGCAAGCGUUGUCCGGAUUUAUUGGGUUUAAAGGGUGCGUAGGUGGUCCUAUAAGUCAGUGCUGAAAUAUCCCGGCUUAACCGGGAGGGUGGCAUUGAUACUGCAGGACUUGAGUAAAGUUGAGGUAGGCGGAAUUGACGGUGUAGCGGUGAAAUGCUUAGAUAUCGUCAAGAACACCUAUUGCGAAGGCAGCUUACUAAGCUUUAACUGACACUGAGGCACGAAAGUGUGGGGAUCAAACAGG
rnacentral:rRNA from 1 species